rnacentral:rRNA from 1 species
GCAAGUCGAGGGGCAGCAUAUCACUUCGGUGAUGAUGGCGACCGGCGCACGGGUGAGUAUCGCGUUUGUAACCUACCCUUAACUGGAAGAUAGCCCGGAGAAAUCCGGAUUAAUACUCCAUAAUAUUUAAGCACGGCAUCGUGCUUUCAUUAAAGCUCAGGCGGUUAAGGAUGGGCAUGCGUGACAUUAGUUUGUUGGUAAGGUAACGGCUUACCAAGACUACGAUGUCUAGGGGGUCUGAGAGGAUGAUC